UAAAGGUUCAAUUCUGCUGUAGCUGCCACUGACUGCUCAUCAAUGUGAGAAGCUUUCCAGAUCAGUUAAAAUCAGGUAUUCCCCAAACGCCUUCCUUUCCCCCUCGGAGUGUAUGAGGAAUAAAACAGAUUCCAACGAUCUUACCCCAGCUAACUCUCCCCAUUACAUUGGACCAACUUUGCUUUCCCAUUCUGCCUCUCAAGGCUCAUCUGAGCAUUUCAUAUACUUUAAUUGGCCCUUAGUUGAAAAGCUUUUGAUGGAUUCACAGUGCAGAAUCUGGUGGGGCACUAUCCUUGAUGUUUUCCACAGUGUCCUAGGUAAAUCUAAAAGUGAAAACUCCUGAGAACCCAGGGAAUUGUCUUUAAGAAUAGAAUGAGUUCACUUUAAUAAUCAAAUUUCUUUUCUAUUUUGAUCCUCAUAAUUGUGAAAGUCAUAUUGAGAGCUGCACUGUCUGGCUCCCUCCAUUUUGUGCAAUUAUUAAAUGUUUAUUAUAAUUUCCACAGUCUUAUCUCCCACGUAUCUAGCUAUUUUAUGCAUUUAAGAAUAGCCUCACUAAUUUCUUUCCUAAGAAUGGCUGAUAUCCCUCAUGGACUAAUGGCCAUAUGUGAAAAUCAAAUGCCCAUCAAAACUAGCAUUCUUUAAGCUUUCUGAUCUCUAUGCCUUCCUUUCUGACUUAUUGUUAAAAUCGGCAAUGUCCUUAUCUCACUUUAAUCUCAUCAAUGAAAACAUUUUGCUCUCUGUAUUCCAGUUAUCAAGAUUCUAUGCUUCUUUCAAUAGUGUCCUCAAAUAGUGACAUCGUCAUCAUUUAUUCACUUUACAUCCCAAUCACAGCCCCCUCCCUCCUCCUGUCCCAGGGCCACCCUUACAAAUCCUUCCCACCAUUGCCCCUCCCCUUCCUCAGAGAAGGGGAGUACUUUCUCCACAGCAUUUUCCUAACCCACCUUAUGUUGAUGCAACUUGUAGAAGAUUCACCUUGAAGCCACAGGAAACAUCGAUGAGAUGGGCUGACAGUUGCUACACUAACUGCUACUGUGACUUAGGCACCAUCUUCAUUGUGGCAACUUGUAGAGAAAUUAAGAUCCUCUCUCUCUCUCUCUCUCUCUCUCUCUCUCUCUCUCUCUCUCUCUCUCUCUCUCUCUCCCUACUUCUCAUGAGGAGACUUUUGCCUGAAGUUCUCCCUCCCACUAUUACUGGCCAGAGGUGGUUGCAUAACUGCUCACAAAUUACGCAUAUGAGAAAAUAACAACAUUCCCAAUAUUGAUUAAGAUAAUCAGCUUAAACUCCCCAAAGCUGGACCUGACAUUGUUCCCAUGAAGCCUAUUAUCAUGUGGUGAAUGGUGGGAUCUAAAAUAAAGUCUGAGGUCUCUUAGAACGGGAAAUAGAGAGGAAUUUUAGUUUGACUAAUCAAUGUUUAUUCUAAUUAUUAUCUCUCUCCCAUACCGCCUAUAGUGUUUUGGAAAUAUUUCCAGUUGAGCAGCAUUCUUGUGGUAUUAUGUUUCUACAUAUUUACCUCUCGCCUAUCUCCCUCUAGCUUCAAGAUGACCAAAUGGCCCACUCAAUAGCUAUAAGGACGAGAGCUAUACUGGACACAUCAGACAAAAAAAUAUCUUUAGUUACGUUCCUUGUUUCCCCCUGGAUAGUGUGGAUAUAAAAACUGUGUCUCGAGCUUGUUUCCAUAGCAGAUACUACUGUGAAGCUUCACACUCGCCUUGUGUCCUUGGCCCCUGUUAAUUCUGCGCACUGGCCCACACCUGUGAAGAUGAUGCGAGCCAAGGCCCUGUAAGUCCUCCGAGUACGGAUGAAUCCUCCAUUCAUUCUGCUUUCCACUCGGAGAAUGACGGACAGAGGGCAUGAACACAAUCAGAGGACAAGUAGACGGGUGUUUCCAGGAGCCAAUGAAAUAUUUUAUUUAUUUCAAUGGGAAAUCAAGCCAGCUGGCUCUUACAUGAAGCUAUCCCCUGGAAUUCACAAAUGCCACUUUCUUCUCCAUCGUGGAAGAAAAGAUACGUUGUAGUUUGGAACAAAGGUGACCCAAUAUUAUCUGGAUCGUGACAAGCCAUGAGGAAAGGGUGGCCAAAAACAAGAGCCCACCAUCUUGGUUGAGAAGGUUGAUGCGAAGCCAAACCCACUGGCUAGAGGGCGGAGACACUCCAGAUGAAGUGAUACCAGCAAGUGAUAGGAGGCACACUGAAGGGGGAAAACCUCCCCCAAACAGGCAUGGCUCAAUGUCCAUGUGCCUGACCAUGGGAAGACAGAGGUGAGUCCUCACUGACUGUGCAGUCCCACCGUAGAAAAUUUAACUGAUAGGGCUUUAAAAGAUAUUUCAUUUCCACCUUUUCCCAAGGCCAGCACAAUUAUGAGCAUAUAAGAGCAUUUUCAUGAAAGACCACAAGUGCAGAAUAACUCCACAGGAAUGUAGCAGUGCAAACAAUUACAGAUGGGCUAGCAUUUUCACUGCAACCUUUGUUUUUAUGGACAAAUACUUUUGUGUUACAACCACCUACACCAAUCAAGAGGAGAGCAUAUUGUGCAGCCCUUUAGUGAGGAGUAACAUUGAGCCUGUAUACCAUGUAGCCUGUAUGAAGAGGACUACAUCUGCAUAAGUAGACUGUGAUAUUCAUUCAUUCAUUCAUUCAUUCAUUCAUGCUGAAAUUACUUAGUAAGUAACAGAAUUCUCAGAACACACCCUACGGUUAAACCACACAGCUCGCUAGAGCUUAAGCCUCUUUCGUUCUUCUUCUUUUCCCCUUGCUUUCACGCCCUGGUUUCUAAUCUUCAUUUUUCAGCAUAGAGCAGAAGCACACAUACUCUGCAAGUAAAUGAUACUGGCAUUCUACUUUUCAUGUGCUAAGCAUAAUCCAAAAAUAUGUGUCAUAUUUAGAAAACCGAGGUUUAGAAUGAUUAAUCUUCUUGCCUAGCUCACAAAGGUCACAUGUUUCCGAACUACCAUUCAAAAGCAGACAGUCUGGCUCCAGAGUCUGUGAUCUUAAUAUCAUCACUUUGUUACAUUAAAUAU
rnacentral:lncRNA from 1 species